rnacentral:rRNA from 1 species
GAUGAACGCUAGCUACAGGCUUAACACAUGCAAGUCGAGGGACCGGCGCACGGGUGAGUAACACGUAUCCAACCUGCCCUUUACUCGGGGAUAGCCUUUCGAAAGAAAGAUUAAUACCCGAUGUAAAGGAUGGGGAUGCGUUCCAUUAGGUUGUUGGUGAGGUCACGGCUCACCAAGCCUUCGAUGGAUAGGGGUUCUGAGAGGAAGGUCCCCCACAUUGGAACUGAGACACGGUCCAAACUCAUACGGGAGGCAGCAGUGAGGAAUAUUGGUCAAUGGGCGCUAGCCUGAACCAGCCAAGUAGCGUGAAGGAUGAAGGCUUAUGGGUCGUAAACUUCUUUUAUAUAAGAAUAUGUAUUAUAUGAAUAAGGAUCGGCUAACUCCGUGCCAGCAGCCGCGGUAAUACGGAGGAUCCGAGCGUUAUCCGGAUUUAUUGGGUUUAAAGGGAGCGUAGGUGGACUGGUAAGUCAGUUGUGAAGGUUUGCGGCUCAACCGUAAAAUUGCAGUUGAUACUGUCAGUCUUGAGUACAGUAGAGGUGG